rnacentral:rRNA from 1 species
AAUAGAUACCCGGGUAGUCCUGGCCGUAAACGAUGACCACUAGAUGCGGGAGGUAUCGACCCCUUCCGUGUCGCAGCUCACGCGCUAAGUGGUCCGCCUGGGGAGUACGGUCGCAAGACUAAAACUCAAAGGAAUUGACGGGGACCCGCACAAGCAGCGGAGCGUGUGGUUUAAUUCGAAGCAACGCGAAGCACCUUACCAGGGCUAGAAUGCGCGUGACCGGUCCAGAGAUGGACCUUUCCUUCGGGACACAAAGCAAGGUGCUGCAUGGCCGUCGUCAGCUCGUGCCGUGAGGUGUUGGGUUAAGUCCCGCAACGAGCGCAACCCCUAUCUUUAGUUGCCAGCACAUUAUGGUGGGGACUCUAAAGAGACUGCCUGCGCAAGCAGUGAGGAAGGUGGGGAUGACGUCAGGUCAUCAUGGCCCUUACGCCUAGGGCUACACACGUGCUGCAAGUGGGCGGUACGAGAGGGUUGCUACCGUGGGUGGACGAGGGAGUGCCAAUACUACAAAAACGCCGCUCUCUAGUUCGG